AGAUGUGAGGGCGAUCUGGCUGCAACAUCUGUCACUCCAUUGAUCGCCAGGGUUGAUUCGGCUGAUCUGACUGGCUAGGCGGGUGGCCCCUUCCUCUCUCACCUCUCCGUGUGUGCUUGGUCGAAGAGGACGACCUUCCCCGAAUAGAAGAGGGCGGGU
rnacentral:snRNA from 1 species